rnacentral:rRNA from 1 species
GACGAACGCUGGCGGCGUGCCUAAUACAUGCAAGUAGAACGCUGAAGGAGGAGCUUGCUUCUCCGGAUGAGUUGCGAACGGGUGAGUAACGCGUAGGUAACCUGCCUGGUAGCGGGGGAUAACUAUUGGAAACGAUAGCUAAUACCGCAUAAGAGUAGAUGUCGCAUGACAUUUGCUUAAAAGGUGCAACUGCACCACUACCAGAUGGACCUGCGUUGUAUUAGCUAGUUGGUGAGGUAACGGCUCACCAAGGCAACGAUACAUAGCCGACCUGAGAGGGUGAUCGGCCACACUGGGACGGAGACACGGCCCAGACUGCUACGGGAGGCAGCAGUAGGGAAUCUUCGGCAAUGGACGGAAGUCUGACCGAGCAACGCCGCGGGAGGGAAGAAGGUUUUCGGAUCGUAAAGCUCUGUUGUAAGAGAAGAACGAGUGUGAGAGUGGAAAGUUCACACUGUGACGGUAGCUUAACAGAAAGGGACGGCUAACUACGUG